UACGAAGGGGGCGAGCGUUAUUCGGAAUCACUGGGCGUAAAGCGUAUGUAGGCGGUUAUGUAAGUUAGAAGUGAAAGCCCAGGGCUUAACCUUGGAAUUGCUUUUAAUACUAUAUGACUAGAAUUCGGUAGAGGAUAGUGGAAUUAUCAGUGUAGCAGUGAAAUGCGUAGAUAUUGAUAGGAACACCAGUGGCGUAGGCGACUAUCUGGACCGACAUUGACGCUGAGAUACGAAAGCGUGGGGAGCAAACAGGAUUAGAUACCCUGGUAGUCCACGCCGUAAACGAUGUGUGCUUGUCGUUGGAAAUUUUAAUUUUCGGUGACGGAGCUAACGCGUUAAGCACACCGCCUGGGAAGUACGGUCGCAAGACUAAA
rnacentral:rRNA from 1 species